AGAUCAAAUCGAAUGUUUAAUAUGUUAAGUAACCAUAUUUUGCAUUGAUUUUAACUAAUACAUUGAAAGAUUAGUUGUUAAUGUUUGAAUUUUACAUGUUUAUAACUAAAUCUUUGUAAAAACCUAUCUUGUGGAAGAUGUUUCAUAUAGUUUUAAUCUUAAUCUAAGUAAGUUUGAAAAUAAACUUACCAAAUCAUUGUUUUGUCUCUUAAAAUGAAUGAUAUACUUCACAAAUGGACUAUGGAGUGUAACAUAAUCCUUAUACCAAUGUAUUUAAAUCUUAAAGUUCACAAAUCAUAAAUAUUGAUUUGUGACUCAUACGCGAACGUCGCAAAAGCGUAUCUCUUUGCGAUUACUUUGCCACUGUCUAAUGUUACAACUAAUGUGCUACUCGUUUGUGACGACUUUGUUACGUAUUUUGCGACCGUUCUGGUACUCUUUAGAGACUCGUUCUGUUUUAAAAUUGAAAUUGUAUAAAAUAGAAUGUUUAAUAUGUUAAGUAACUAUAUUUUGCAUUGAUUUGAACUAAUACAUUGAAAGAUUACUUGUUAAUGUUUUAAUUUUACAUGUUUACAACUUAAUCUUUGUAAAAACCUAUCAUGUGGAAGAUGUUACAUAUAGUUUUAAUCUUAAUCUAAGUAUGUUUGAAAAUAAACUUACCAAAUCAUUGUUUUGCCUCUUAAAAUGAAUGAUUUACUUCACAAAUGGACUAUGGAGUGUUACAUAAUCCUUAUAUCAAUGUAUUUAGAUCUUAAAGUUCAAAAAUCUUAAAUGUUGAUUUGUGACUCAUACACGAACGUCGCAAAAGCGUAUCUCUUUGCGAUUACUUUGCCACUGUCUAAUUUUACAACUAAUGUGCUACUCUUUAGUGACAACUUUGUUACGUAUUUUGCGACCGUUCUGCCACAACAUUUGUUCUUGUUCUUGUUUGUGACUAACUUGCGACGACUUUUGCGACAACUUGUACAACCCGUUUGCGACCGAUUUGGGACCGUUUUCCGACUUUUACCAAAAUUUAGGGUUUUCGAUUAGGCGGGCUAUUAUCCCUCGUGUUUUUUUGGUUGCGACCAAGUUGGGACGAGUUUGCGACUCCUAUUCUUUUAUUACUACCAACGAAAAGUCACAUUUCUCGAAUCUGAAACACUUUAGUCUUUAGUCUUCGAUUCCUCUCUUCGUUUCUUCUUCGAUUUCUCUCUUCAAUUCCUCUUUUUGAUUCGUUUUCCUCCUCGAUUCUUCUCUUCAAUUCCUCUUCGUUUCUUCAUUAAUUUGGUAGUAGAUCUUUGAUUCCUCUUCUUCUUCGUUUCUUCUUCGAUUCCUCUUCCUCUUCGUUUCUUCUUCGAUUCCUCUCUUUGCUUUAAUACCUUCUCUCUCUGUCCUCUCUUCGCUUUAAUACCUUCUCCUCUCAUCUCAAAACCCUAGCCGUCGAUGUCGUCGCCGCUUCUCCUCGUCGCCGCUUCUCCUCGUCGAAUGACACCUUUGUGUGGUGAGCUCGCGUGAUUUAGAUUUCAAGCUAUGUGUUCUCGGAUUUGAACAGUGAGUGGAGUCUCUCAUCUUAGUCUGAAGCUCUUUCUAAAGAAGUGUUGGGCGUUUUCAAACUAUAAAGAAAGGGAACGUGGAAGGAAAAAUAAGGAGCAGAUCUUAGCUUCAUUAUGUUGCCAAGUUCGAGUAUUGGUUGUUGGUGACUCAGUGGAGGCCUUUAAGAACAAAGGCAUAACUGGUAUAGGAGCUGCAAGGUUUUGUUGGGGUGGCGAGUUUGGUUUUCUUGUUUCUAUCACUUCUAUUAGAUUGGAUAACUAUGAGAGAGAGAAAGGAACAAGCAACUUGAAGAAUCACGCCUCAAGUGUUCCCUCUACAGUGGCUACUAUAUCCUAGGCACCGCCAAUGCAACCGCCAAUGCAACAGCCACUGCCAAUGCAACAGCCACAACCACUGCACAAAACAACGUAGAAGAAACCAUAGGAGAAACCAAUCCAGCCACUGCACCACAAGGAACUGUCGCAGCCACACCAACAGUUUCUUCAUCAUCAUUCUAAGUACUUUCUUCAUCUUUUUUUCAUUCUGUUAUGAACAUUGAGGAUCCUUUUGAAUGUUUAAGGUUAUAUAUGUAAGGCUAUGUUACCAACAUUAGGGCUUUGAAACAAAUUUAAAUGAUCGCAGAUUUGUUUUUUGGUUUUC